GGAGGAGAUGCAGAGCCACGGGAGCUUUCCUAAGUUACCAGGACAUGUGUGAAAUGGCAGUAAGGCAGCUACAGUGUGAAUGGAAGUUUAAGUCUUUCCUUAUCAGCAUCACAUGCAUGAAGUUCCUUUGGAGGCCAGAAGAAGAUGUUGACUUCUCUGGGACCAUCACCAUGUUGUAGGUGUUGUGAACCAAACCCAGGUCUUCUUCAAAAGUCACAAGUGAUCUUAACUGAUGAACCAUCUAUUAAACCAAACCUAACUAGUUUUUUAUUUUUAAAAAAAUAGGAAUCUAAUUCCUGAAUCUUUAAACAGAUUGUAAAGAACUGAAAUUGUUAACAUUAGGAAUUCUGACCAUGAUUAAAAAAUAAAUUUGUUGGGA